UCGUAGGGAAGGAAACGAGACGAAGACGUUUCUCCUCUUGUUUUUUUUUGUUGUUGUUUCGUUAAUAACGCAUUUUCACCUGCACAGUAAAAUCUACGUGGACACCACCGGCGCUCGCCCUUACCGCGUACAGUACCUUAUUGUUUUUGAUCGCCAAAAGAAGAAGAAAACGAAAAAAAAGGGAGUGCGGGGAGCGCUUGCCUUUCCCCUUCCCUGCAUUCGCCGUUCUGGCAGCGGCGUGAUUCCACCCUAUUCCGGCGGCGGCCCCGCCGCUUCGGCAACGCCAGGUUCAUAUUUCUCCCCGAUUUACUGGUCUUCACUGUCUAAAUAGGCCGCUGGAUGUUCCAUCCAGAUCCAGGCGCCGCUCGGAUUCCCCUUCAAUCUAUCAACUCCGAUUUGGGAUCGCAGUAGGAGUCCUCCUGUAUAUAGCUCCGGCCGACGCGCGAGAGCAACGCAUCCGAACAAGCCAAGGUGCGGGAUGGGGAGAAAGGCGCCUCCUUUAUCUCCGGCCGGACGGAAGCGCAAAGGUCCAUCGCUCCCCUUUCUCUCCCCCUGCAAACGCCGGUCUACCCCCACUCCGGCGCAGACAGCCACCGGCUGGGCGUCCCUCCCGGACGACAUAGCCCGCCAGGUCGCCGCGCUGGUGCUGAAAUUCGGCGUCGUGGACUACAUUGCCUUCCGCGCCGUCUGCUCCGGAUGGCGCACCUGCGCGCCCACUCCGCGCGACCCCACCCUCCGGAUCCGGUCUCUCCGCCCGGUCGGCUGGGUCACGCUCUGUGACGGCGACGCCGUCCGCCCCGACGACGCCUGCCAGAUAACCUUCUUCCACAGUCAAACGGCGAGGUGCCUCCGCGUCCGCCUGCCCGAGCUCCAGCGCCACAGGAUCAUUGGCUUCACCGAUGGUCUUGUCAUCCUGCUGCACAAGCGAACCACCGCGGUCCGCGUGCUCAACCCCUUCACAGGCGCCGCGGUUGACUUCCCGUCCCUCGUCCCCGUGUACCAGGAGCUGAUCAAGAACCGCAACUGUGUCCUUCACAUGAACGCUGCGGUUUGUAGUAGUGUAUCAUCCACCACCUCCAUUGCCGUCGUGGCCUGGUUCCCUUGGUCAUCUGUGGUGCUCAGUGCCGAUGCAGGCCACCCGAGCUAGGAGGUCAUCCAAACAAACAUGUAUCUGUCCAACACCUUGCCCUUCCAAGGUCAGCUCUACGGCUUCCUGCAGUCUUCAAGGCAGAUUGUGCAAGUCUACCCUCCCAAGCCACCCACCGGUCCUGUUGUUGCUCAUGUUCCACAAAAGUUUGGUAACCCGCUUUUCUGCAAGUAUUAUCUCGUGGAGUCCGAUGGAGACAUGCUACUCGUUGUCAAGUCGCCCAAGUUUGUACACCCCGAUGUAGAGGAGUGGCGACGUUACAUCAUUGCCAUCUUCAAGGUGAAUAUAAGCAUCGUCGGCCACCGGGAACUGAUUCCCGUAACAAGUCUCGGCGACCGGGCAUUGUUCGUCUCCUUGGACAGGUGCUUGUCCGUGUCGUCCAAGAACCUUCCAUCCAUCAGCAGCAACUCGAUUUACCUCACGGUAUCACUCCCGGAUCCGGUCGUCGUGCAUUGUUUGAGCAGCCGAUCGUUCGAGCGGCCAACGGCGUUGUGUCAGGUACAUGACGGAAAGGAGAUGAUCUGCACAUCCGUGCGGCCCUUCACUCUUGCUGAUCAUCUUCUCACCUACUGCAAUCAUCAUGAAUGGUCAAAUGGACUGAUGUUUCAUGAGUACUACUCCAUACCUGAGUCUUUUCAAGGGCUGUGGAAGAAAAUAAGAACCCAGGAUUCCCAACUGAGGAUUUCACGCAUGAGAGAUUGAAUCAGAUGAUAAGUAGGCAUGUGGCACCGAAAAAAUAAUAGUCCCUCUGUAUUGUAGACUACUCUUUGAAAAUGAGAAUAUUAUUUAAUUUCUUUAUUCCUAAUGCUUUCAAUGUAAUCAAUAUGAUGAUGUAACUAGAAUUAAGAAAACCUUCUCUCACUUCUUGAUGAAGUCAGUUUGUUUGUGAAUUAAAAAAUGACCAGCGGUGUCAGUUUAUGUCUACCCAAGAGGAUGAUGAGAAAAUUUGAGCUUUUAGUAUGCUGUUAUGCCAGCUAGGAUCUGCUCGUCCAAGGUGAUAUUGACAUCCCUCUGCUUGGCAGAGUCUGCAGGUUCAUUCAGUGUACUUGCUGCUAAGUUUGAAUCCCAAUACAGCUUGUUAUAGUUUUGUCUUAUCUUAAAGAAGGUCGGGAUUCUACAUUCCUCUGCCUUGAUGAAUAUUGGAAGGAUGUCGCUAAACAACAUCAAGUAGACCACCAGCAGCAAGGCAAGCUUGUGAGGAGCAGUACGUACGUUCUGCCGUUAUGAAUGUCCAGCGAUGAUUCAAUUGCUGAGGAGGGUUGACAACAGAUGGGCACAGUUCUGAGGACAGACGAACUUCCCAGCACUGAACCUCCAGGAGAAUCUUAAUUGGCCCUCAUGAAGAUGUUAUGGAUGGACCUGGCCACCUGGGAGACCCAGACCUAUGGCAGCCGCCUGAUGCUCUGAUAAACUCUAGCCAUGCCCCCUUGGGCUACCAGGUCGUGCUGCAACGCCGAUCGUUUGGUAUUGACGAUUCAUUCGGCAACGAUGAGUGCUCGAGUGCUUCAGGGAGGUGAGCAAGGUCGGUUCCUCAAGACUCUAGCCAGGUAGGUCUGACCGUCUAGUGACUCGGCCCAGAUUCUAGAAGGUUAUAACUGCUGAGGCGGUUUGACCAAGAGUAGGAGACUCAACAGAGUAGUGUCUCUGGAAGAUUGAGGAGAACCAAGGAGCGUGCCGAUUCUCUACCAGAUCAGAGAACCAGGGAGCGUGCCGAUUCUCGAUCAGAUCACCGAGCAUGGCGACGGCCUUGCGCCAGAUCCAACACGGGUGCCAGCAUGGUGACCAACGGAGGGAGACACAGGCGCCAGAUCUUGGCCGCCUCCUCGGCGUGGUCGCCCAACCGGCCAUGGGCUCCUCCGCGCACACGUGGACCUCCUUGGACACUCGUCUGCCACGCGCGAGCUCCUCGAGCUGCUGCUCGACACUUCCCACGUCGUCUCCAAGGUUCUGAUCUCAGACUUGCUCCCGCUUGAACAGAGCCAAUGUGGCUAAUUCGUUCCUCUCUACUUCACUUUACACUGGUGGUGGAUCCGAGUGCAUAACUAGUAGAUUAUCUGCCAUCUUGAGUUAUCCCUGUAUACAGUUCCAUCUCAUUCACCUCACUACAGUUUUAGCACCUAGUAAAUGAUCACAUGUCCUUGCAUUUAUCAUCGGAAUUGUGACAUAUCAUGAUGUUAGAAUAAAUGUUUUUAGCUAGUCUGAUAAUACAUGUUUACCAAUUUGUACCUGCCGUCGUUUCAUUUUUAGCUAGAGAUUUUGCCCAUUGUUUCUGAAUUUUAAAUGCCAAAGUAACUAGUUCACUAAAACUGCUUGAUCGGACUGCAUAACUAAAUUACUGACUAAAUGGUGAUAUGUCACUGCAAACUAAAUUACUGGAUCUUUUCCUUACUUUUCAUGAUUUAUCAUCCAGAGGCUCACCUUUUGUUUUCUUCCAUGUCCUUGUGCAAUAAGGUAUUCAACAUGGCUUUCUUUUGGUCUGGCUAUGCAUAAAGCUUCUGGAGCUCCGGUUCUCCUGCAGAUUCUGAGUGGAACUCUCUGUACCUGUACGGGUGAAGGGCGACCUCCCGCUGGCAGAGCCCGGGCAGAUUAGUGCGUGCAGAGAGGAAGGUAGUGAGUAUCCUGUCGGAGAUUACGAGUGCUCAAACUGAUGCAGAACAACCACAAGGCUGCGAGGCGCUGGAAGACUUGCCUGGGCGUGAGUCAUCUAUGAAUGGCUUCAAUACCAGUGAGGCUGUGGAGGUAUGGAUGAAAGCUUCGGCGAAGACAAAGUCUGUGGUACGGCUGGUGUGGUUGUAUCAAAAAGGGGUAUUUUUGGCUGGACGAAAAGCCUUUUUGUCAGGGUGAACAAUCAUUCCCAGGGCACAAUCUUCAGUGGUGUGGUGAUGAGCAAUGAGAAGAUCAGGCCACGUAUUGUAUUGUUUUUCCUUGGUGCAAGUAGCUAACCUGUACUUCAAACCACACGGGUGAUGGUGCAUGUCCGUCUAACACAAAUACCACCAAAGCACAUUAUAAAAUGCUGGACACGAGAUGCAGGGGAUAUUUUGCCUCGCUGGGUUGUUGCGGUACCAAAAGGACAGUGGCAAACCAAAAGCAAUAACAUACAUGCAUUCUAGGUUGUACAAGCAAGACUGAGCAUUGUGCAAUUGGGUGACACAAACGUCGAGAGUUGCAGCGUAGCAAUGAAGAAAGUUCUUGAGAUUGUGCCGACAAUCAAGACAACCAGCAAAGGUCAGGGAUGGGACGGGCUUGGAGGACGGAGAUAGAGAGCCGCACUUUCAGGGCCUCCUGAUGCUACAAUGCCACUGGAUGUUGUGACAGCAAUUGUCACAAGACAUAGAAAGGCCUGAUCCAGUUGGGUUUCAAGAUCUAGCCAAGAAGAGGACAGUGCGUAGGCUGACUAUAGGCCGUGACAAGCCUCCGUUUGAGCAGCCAAAAGGUCAAGGUUAUGUUCUACUCCCUCCGUUCCUAAAUAUAAGUCUUUGUAGAGAUUCCACUAUGAACCACAUACGGAUGUAUCUAGAAUUCUAGAUGCAUUUUAAGUGUAGAUUCAUUCAAUUUGCUCCGUAUGUAGUCCAUCUAGUGAAAUCACUAGAAAGACUUAUAUUUCGGAACGGAGGGAGUAUACAACGUGCCCAGACAGGGGAAAUGCUCCAAGGAAAUCUCUGCAGUACUUGUUUUGUGGAUUGACAUGUCAUACAAAGAAUAGCUGUGAAAAACUGUUGGUGGAGAAUGAGGAGUUGAGGAUCGGAGGUGGCUUUUCCACUUCUGAAACAUCAAACUGUUGGUUUAUGUGUUAUGUUUGCAGUCGCUGUUUGCACGCAAAAUGCUGUCAACUUGGCUGCGGUUUAUUUUGGAGAAAAGGAGCGCCAGGCUCCUAAUCUCAUUUUCAUGAAACUGAUAACACAAACAGGUGUUGAGUGAAGAGGUUGUUACAUUUGGCUC